rnacentral:rRNA from 1 species
CAUGUGUAGCGGUGAAAUGCGUAGAUAUAUGGAGGAACACCAGUGGCGAAAGCGGCUCUCUGGUCUGUCACUGACGCUGAGGCUCGAAAGCGUGGGUAGCGAACAGGAUUAGAUACCCUGGUAGUNCACGCCGUAAACGAUGAGUGCUAGGUGUUAGGCCCUUUCCGGGGCUUAGUGCCGGAGCUAACGCAAUAAGCACUCCGCCUGGGGAGUACGACCGCAAGGUUGAAACUCAAAGGAAUUGACGGGGGCCCGCACAAGCGGUGGAGCAUGUGGUUUAAUUCGAAGCAACGCGAAGAACCUUACCAGGUCUUGACAUCCCGAUGCUAUUCUUAGAGAUAGGAAGUUACUUCGGUACAUCGGAGACAGGUGGUGCAUGGUUGUCGUCAGCUCGUGUCGUGAGAUGUUGGGUUAAGUCCCGCAACGAGCGCAACCCUUAUUGUUAGUUGCCAUCAUUAAGUUGGGCACUCUAGCGAGACUGCCGGUAAUAAACCGGAGGAAGGUGGGGAUGACGUCAAAUCAUCAUGCCCCUUAUGACCUGGGCUACACACGUGCUACAAUGGUCGGUACAACGAGUUGCGAGCCGGUGACGGCAAGCUAAUCUCUGAAAGCCGAUCUCAGUUCGGAUUGGAGGCUGCAACUCGCCUCCAUGAAGUCGGAAUCGCUAGUAAUCGCGGAUCAGCACGCCGCGGUGAAUACGUUCCCGGGCCUUGUACACACCGCCCGUCACACCACGAGAGUUUGUAACACCC